GAGCACGUAGGUGGGUUUGUAAGUCAGGUGUGAAAGCCUUCUGUUCAAAGGAAGAACGGCACCUGAAACUACAGAUCUUGAGUGUAGGAGGGGAGAGUGGAACUUCUGGUGGAGCGGUGAAAUGCGUAGAUAUCAGAAGGAACGUCGGCGGCGAAAGCGACUCUCUGGCCUAUUACUGACACUGAGGUGCGAAAGUUAGGGGAGCAAACGGGAUUAGAUACCCCGGUAGUCCUAACCGUAAACGAUGGGCACUAAGUAGAGGGAAUUACCAAUGUUCUCUCUGCCGUAGCUAACGCAUUAAGUGCCCCGCCUGGGGAGUACGGCCGCAAGGCUAAAACUCAAAAGAAUUGACGGGGGCUCGCACAAGCGGUGGAGCAUGUGGCUUAAUUCGAUGCAACGCGAAAAACCUUACCGGGGUUUGACAUGGUAGAAGUAGGAGCCCGAAAGGGUAACCAACGGUAUCCAGUCCGUAACUAUUACAGGUGUUGCAUGGCUGUCGUCAGCUCGUGUCGUGAGACGUUGGGUUAAGUCCCCUAACGAGCGAAACCCUUGUUUUUAGUUACCAUCGGGUAGUGCCGGGUACUCUAAAAAGACUGCCGUCGUCAAGACGGAGAAAGGUGGGGAUGACGUCAAGUCAUCAUGGCCCUUAUACCCCGGGCUGCACACGUGCUACAAUGGUCGGUACAAAAGGAAGCAAGACCGAGAGGUGAAGCGAAUCC
rnacentral:rRNA from 1 species